rnacentral:rRNA from 1 species
GACGAACGCUGGCGGCGUGCCUAAUACAUGCAAGUCGAACGCAUUUUCUUUCACCGUAGCUUGCUACACCGAAAGAAAAUGAGUGGCGAACGGGUGAGUAACACGUGGGUAACCUGCCCAUCAGCGGGGGAUAACACCUGGAAACAGGUGCUAAUACCGCAUAAUUCCAUUUACCGCAUGGUAGAUGGAUGAAAGGCGCUUUUGCGUCACUGAUGGAUGGACCCGCGGUGCAUUAGCUAGUUGGUGGGGUAACGGCCUACCAAGGCUGCGAUGCAUAGCCGACCUGAGAGGGUGAUCGGCCACACUGGGACUGAGACACGGCCCAGACUCCUACGGGAGGCAGCAGUAGGGAAUCUUCGGCAAUGGACACAAGUCUGACCGAGCAACGCCGCGUGAGUGAAGAAGGUUUUCGGAUCGUAAAACUCUGUUGUUAGAGAAGAACAAGGAUGAGAGUGGAAAGUUCAUCCCUUGACGGUAUCUAACCAGAAAGCCACGGCUAACUACGUG